rnacentral:misc_RNA from 1 species
AAGUCGUAACAAGGUCUCCGUUGGUGAACCAGCGGAGGGAUCAUUACAGAGUUCUCGCAACUCCCACUCACCCCUUGUGAACAUACCAUAUUGUUGCCUCGGCGGGGUACUCGCGACCCCGCCGGCGGCCCUCCAAACAAAACCUGUCUCCAGUACUUGAAUUCUGAAUUAUAACCAAACAAAUACGUUAAAACUUUCAACAACGGAUCUCUUGGUUCUG